GAUGAACGCUGGCGGCGUGCCUAAUACAUGCAAGUCGAGCGAACGGACGAGAAGCUUGCUUUUCUGAUGUUAGCGGCGGACGGGUGAGUAACACGUGGAUAACCUACCUAUAAGACUGGGAUAACUUCGGGAAACCGGAGCUAAUACCGGAUAAUAUUUUGAACCGCAUGGUUCAAAAGUGAAAGACGGUCUUGCUGUCACUUAUAGAUGGAUCCGCGCUGCAUUAGCUAGUUGGUAAGGUAACGGCUUACCAAGGCAACGAUGCAUAGCCGACCUGAGAGGGUGAUCGGCCACACUGGAACUGAGACACGGUCCAGACUCCUACGGGAGGCAGCAGUAGGGAAUCUUCCGCAAUGGGCGAAAGCCUGACGGAGCAACGCCGCGUGAGUGAUGAAGGUCUUCGGAUCGUAAAACUCUGUUAUUAGGGAAGAAAAUAUGUGUAAGUAACUGUGCACAUCCUGACGGUACCUAAUCAGAAAGCCACGGCUAACUACGUG
rnacentral:rRNA from 1 species